AUUACUUAAAAAUCAUACAAUGUGAUUUUCUGGAUUUUUGUUUUAGAUUCCAUCUCUCACAGUUGAAGUGUACCUAUGAUAAAAUUACAGUCCUCUACAUGCUUUGUAAGUAGGAAAACCUGCGAAAUCGGCAGUGUAUCAAAUCCUUGUUCUCCCCACUGUAAGUAUUCAGACCCUUUACUCAGUGUUUUGUUGAAGCACCUUUGGCAGUGAUUAUAGCCUUGAGUCUUCUUGGGUAUGACACAAGCUUGGCACACCUGUAUUUGGGGAGUUUCUCCCAUUCUUCUCUGCAGAUCCUCUCAAGUUCUUGUCAGGUUCAAUGCACAGCUAUUUUCAGGUCUCUCCAGAGAUGUUCAAUCGGUUUCAAGUCCAGGCUCUGGCUUUGCUACUCAAGGACAUUCAGAGACUGGUCCCGAAGCCACUCCUGCAUUGUCUUGGCUAUGUGCUUAUGGUCGUUGUCCUGUUGGAAGGUGGACCUUCACCCCAGUAUGAGGCCCUGAGCACUCUGGAGCAAGUUUUCAUCAAGGAUCUCUCAGUACUUUGCUCUGUUCAUCUUUCUCUUGACCUUGACUAGUCUCCCAGUCCCUGCAGCUGAAAAACAUCCCCACAGCAUGAUGCUGCCACCAUAAUGCUUCACUGUUGGGAUGGUAUUGGCCAGGAGAUGAGCAAUUCCUGGUUUCCUCCAGACGUGUUACUUGGCAUUGAGGCCAAAGAAUUGGUUUCAUCAGACCAGAGAAUCUUGUUUCUCAUGGUCAGAGUCCUUUAGGUGCCUUUUGGCAAACUCCAAGUGGGCUGUCAUGUGCCUUUUUUUGAGGAGUGGCUUCUGAGUGGCACUCUACCCGAAAGGCCUGAUUUGUGGAGUGCUGCAGAGAUGGUUGUCCUUUUAGAAGGUUCUCCCAUUUCCACAGAGGGACUCUGGAGCUCUGUCAGUGACCAUCGGGUUCUUGGUCACCUCCCUGACCAAGGCCCUUCUCCUCUGAUUACUCAGUAUGUCCGGGCGGCCAGCUCUAGGAAGAGUGGUGGUGCUUCCAAACUUCUUCCAUUUUAAGAAUAAUGGAGGCCACUGUGUUCUUGGGAACCUUUAAUGCUGCAGAUAUGAUUUGGUACUCUUCCCCAGAUCUGUGCCUCAACACAAACCUGUCUCGGAGCUCCACUGACAAUUUCUUCGACCUACUGGCUUGGUUUUUGCUCUGACGUGCACCGUCAACUGUGGGACCUUAUAUAGACAGGUGUGUGCCUUUCCAAAUCAUGUCCAAUCAAUUGAAUUUACCACAGGUGGACUCCAAUAAGGUUGUAGAAACAUCUCAAGUAAAAUCAAUGGAAACAGGUUGCACCUCAGCUCAAUUUUGGGUCUCAUAGCAAAUGGUGUAAAUAAGGUAUUUCUGUUUUUUAUUUUUAAUAAAUUGACAACAUUUCUAAAAACCUGUUUUUGCUUUGUCGUUAUGGGGUAUUGUGUGUAGAUUGAGGGGGGAAAAACAAUUGAAUACGUCUGUAAUGUAACAAAAUGUGGAGAAAGUCGAGGGGUCUGAAUACUUUCCGGAUGCACUGUAUGUUCAAACUUCACAGUAUCACUGUGAUAUGUUUUUACAUGAUUGAUCGACCAUGGUUCAUGUUUUAUAGAAAUGUUGUUGUGUAUUAGUACAGCUUUUUAUUCACGUGAAUAUAUUUCCUGGUGUGAACCCAUGACUGAGGUUGACAAAUAUUAUUAUUAUAUUAAUCUGAAAAUUAUUCUCUCAAAACAGAACAGCGUUAUUUUUUUCUUUUUGUGGUUAUUCUCAAAUCAGAAACAGGCUCUAAGAUCGUAGAAAAGGUUCUGAGACCAGGACAUUCCUGGCAUGAAGAACACCAGAAAUGAUUACCAUUUUAAAUCCCACCCAGAACAAGACCCGUAAUCCCUACCUCCCAACCCUAGUGUAUAUGCUGAAUUUGGAAAAUGAAUGAAAUAAGUGUUGUAUUAUUUGUUUUAAUUACAUUUGACAACAAAUCUAGCUGUAUAGAAAACACUGUCCUUUGUCAUUCAACAAAUUCUACAAGGUAACAAAGGUGUUUCUUUUCAGUUUUUUAUUGAAUGGAUACAGCUACAUAAAUCAGAGGCCUCGCAGUACAAAUACUUGCCAAAAAACAGUUUUGAGAUUCAGCUAUUAUGAAAAACCUUAAUUAAACGAUCUCUGUACAUUCUGUGAGAUAUGUUGAGCUGGAACAGAAGUCAGAAACAAGACGAGGCCCCAUCGCCGCUCACAUACGCGUCAACCCCAUUCUCUAUUGACCCUCAAUACCUCCACCCCUUAAUACCGCCACCCAUGCAAACACACACACUCCAAACAGCCUUCACUUAUUCAUCAUCCAACAACCGCCAUCUUCCACACACUCUCAAACACCUUUCAUUCAUACCUCUCCCUCAUACAUGAUCUAGCUUGUGCUUCUCCACUGUUAACAGACUGAUGUCUUCAGAGAGAGAAAACAAAUCUCUCCCUCCCACAUCCCUCGCUGAUCUAGGUAUGAAGCCUAAUUCUAUUUUUCGUAAAAAUAAAACAAACAGUCAAUCACAUUGAGAGACGGGAACAUUUAUAAUGUACAUAUAAUAUAAAUGUCAAUAUUCUUGUCACACUGUCAUUGGCAUUAGAAAGGAUGGAUUUAAUGCAAUGGUGGUUCAAACGGAUUUCUCUUUUUUUUAUUCAAGUGCUCUUGCUUGCUCUUUUUGGGUGGGACACAGACAAGGUACUUUAUAUAUCUUAGGCACCAUAGCCUAGGUACAUUAUAUACUAUAUAUCUUAGGCAUCAUAGCCUAGGUACUUUAUAUACUAUAUUUCUUAGGCAUCAUAGCCUAGGUACAUUAUAUACUAUGUAUCUUAGGUACUUUAUAUCUUAGUAAUGUUGUCUAAUAUAUAAAGUACCAAGGCAAAGACCUUUAUGAGUUGCAGCGUAGGUCUUCCUUUGCCAAGCACACAAAAAGGUGGUGUGACUAUUAUCCCAAUUAUCAACUCAAAAUUACAAAAUGGAUUUGCCUUUUAUUUAAUACGGCAGUGAUGCCCCAGCCUCGGGACAGUCAAUAAAGAAAUGUACAUUGUA